rnacentral:tRNA from 1 species
GCCUCCAUAGCUCAGUUGGUAGAGCAGCGGAUUCUUAAUCCGCGGGUCCAAGGUUCGAUCCCUUGUGGAGGUACCA